AAUCCAAAUAUAUGAAGAUAUUGUAAGGAGCCUCUAGGUUAACUUCAAGUGUACCAACAUUUGAAUCAUGGGGGUGCCAGAAGAAAAAGAAAGAGAGAUAACGCAAGAAACUGAAAACC